UUGCAGUCAAUUAAGCCAACAGUGCUCUUUUCUCCGUGAGGGCCCAGUGUGCAAUGGCUGCAAACAGCAGCCUCUUCGGUACUGUAUACAGGCUUGUCACCUGUUUGGGUUGCUCUAAGGGACCUUGGAGACAGCC